rnacentral:lncRNA from 1 species
CAUACAAUAGUAUUGUGAUAACAAUAGAGCCAUUGCGAAAGCAAAGGAACUAAGGUCUCAUCAAUGAUCCAAACAUAUAUUAAGGCGGUGUAAUCUCAUCAAAGAGAUAAUACAUAGAAAUGACGUAAAGAGAAGAGCAAAUUUCCACGUUUAAUAAUAUUGCAGAUCCACUGACAAAGAGUUGUCGUAGUGUAAACAUGAUCGUCAUGUAGACUUAUGAUAUUUGAUACAUAAGUGAUUGGAUCUAGUGCAAGUGGGAGUUUGUAAGUAUUAUGCCCUAGGUCCAAUCAACUUUGGACAUAAAUACUUUUAUAUGUAAUUAAUGCAAUUAAAUGGCAG